CCGGCUCACAGUCGAGCGUUUAGAUGCCACUAUUUUUCCCAGUGAUUAAAUCUGGGAGACAAUUGAAGAGGUAAUCGGAAGACUUUUAUUUAGGAAAAUGUCGUCCAAGAGUCCAACAUUUAAAAAUAAAAAUGCAUGACGUCUUCGAACAAAAUUUCAGCAAUUAGACGGUGACCAAGGUGCGUUUAGUCUCUGGUAAAGGAGGAAAGCAACGAGCUGUUGAGCCGAGACGUGCCAACAUUUUCACCACUGCUAGACAGGAUAUUUUCAGCUGCACGGCCAUUUUGCAGUUUUUAAGGAGCCAGCUUUUCCCAAAUGGCCACCUCUGACAAACAAAAGCAUAAACACUAUAAAAGCAGCAAGUUCAAAUCCGAGCCUCAACUUGGUCCAGAAGAGCUGAUAAAUCGGUAUCGAAGCGGUCAGACCCAUGCUGUGACCUUGCUGCAUCAGCUGGCACAGACGCUGCAGUUUCAUCUGGAAAUCAAGGAGACCGUGACCACACCCAAAACAAGUGGAUUGUAUUUUGCCUUUUGCGUGCUUGUCGACGGCAUCCAAUACAAGACCGGGAUGGGGACGACCAAGAAGGCAGCCCGGCUCAAAGCAGCUGAACUGGCGCUGAAGGACCUGCUGCCCAAAUUGGACAUAGAGAAGGCUGACUCUCCUAAAGUGUCAGCGGUCCCACCAUUUCAACUGGUCAAAGAAGAGUCUGCCCAUUCGGAGAUCCAAUCCUUGGGGCUUCUUCGUGAGAGGAAGCGUCCCGCUAACCUCCAGAUACCGAACGCCGUCAGGGAUCACCUCACCAGUUUGAUGGACAGCCACCCGCAGUUCUCCGCCAGCAACACUUCCGUCGCGGCGUUCGUCAUGCAGACUUCCACUAAGUAUGACGUGGUAGCCAUCGGCACCGGCAACUACUGCACCGACGACGGCACGCCAACAAAUGGACGCAUUGUGCACGACUCUCACGCGGUGGUCACUGCCAGGAGGUCCCUCAUGAGAUUCCUCUACCAGCACCUGCUGAUGUUCUUCAGCCAAACCACGCAACUGGUCGAGAAGUCCGUCUUCCAGCGCAACGGCAACGACCUCCUCAGCUUCAAGACUGGCACCACACUGCACCUCUACGUCAACCAGGUGCCCCAGGGCGCCGCUCAGAUGACCUCCACACUGUCCCUAAACCCGCUUUCAAUCUCGGCAUGGCAGAUGAACAGUGAGAUGAGCCUGCGCGUGUCAGUAGAGGGCAAGAUGUUCUCGCUUUUCUCCACUGCCCUCGAGCACCGCAGCACCAACAUGGUCACUGUGUCGGCCGCGGACAAAAUCACCCAGUGGCAGGUGCUGGGCUACCAGGGAGCCUUGCUGAGCCACUUCAUAGAACCCCUCUAUGUUGAUACCAUCCUCGUGGGUGACUUAGGCGGGGGAGACGCACGCGGCAUGGAGGUGACGGUGAACCAACGGACGGAGGGCAUCACCGCACAGCUGCCCAUGUUCUACUGCAUGAUUAGGCCUCAAAUCAGAACAGUGCCCUCUGUGGCUGACGGCAGUCCCAAAAACAGCCCGGUGACGUACGGUUUCAACUGGAGCGAAGGUGACUGCUCCAUCGAGGUGGUGGACGGUCUGACUGGCAAGACCAUACAAGAGUCUCCCUUCAAGAGCGGACCUGCUUUGGCGAGCCGCCUGUGCAAGGCAGCGAUGCUCCACCGCUUCAGGUUGGUGGCCAAAGAGGCCCAGAGGCAGGACCUGCUUGCCGCAAGUUCCUACAGAGAGGCCAAGAGGGCGGCGAAGCCGUACCAGGAGGCCAAAAAUGUGCUGAGGGUGUACCUGAGGGAGCAAGGCUUCGGUUCCUGGCCAGACAAACUCAAGAGAGUUCGCCCGGAGGUUGAUGGAGACGACGCAAAUCCAAAAGAAAAUCGUCAGGAUGUUCUCCAUGGUGGCUUUGAGGGAUUGCUGUAGGCUGGCGUGUUGUGACCUGACCCCUUCUUGGCUUGAGUUGAACUUAUAUAUCUGCGGGGCUGGAAAAGAGUGGGCUGCAUAGGUAGCAGGGUCAUUCCGGCGCCGCGGGCUAGAAGGGAAGAAGAGCAGCAAACUGCGAGGAGGCACAAAAGGACAAGUUUCAUCUCGAGGUCCGAGUCGGCAGCAGCACCAGCGAGCGAGUUUGUAAGUUUUUCUUGUUUUUUUCUGGAAGUGACAAUCUUCACGCCGCGCACCUUUUUUAUACGCAUCCCUGGGGACGUAGGAAAACCACCCGUCGAGAGUUGGAAGUGUCUGCAGAAAGUCGUAUGACGAAUGACUCUUUCUUUUUUCCGCUGUCGGCCGCACCGCCCCGUGAGGUCAAAAACAGACUCGCGCUGACAUCGCGCCGUCGUUGUCGUCCGUAGGUUGAGAGCGUGGCAGGAAGCGGCAGGGAGAUGCCACUUCCCAUUCUCGCGGCGCUCUCGGGCCGCGGUUGCAGCGAUGCUGGCGACCGCACGAUCGCACAAUUUGACGCGAACAGGAAAAAGCCGAAAAUACCACGGUGAACCCCAGCUUAACCGUGGGGGACUACGUACCGGGACUACCUGCUCGGGGCGGAAAUCGAAAAACAUUUGAACAUGAAAUAUCACCUCAGCUUGACUUUUUUUGCGCUUUCACUGUAUCGCAGACUUUUUAAAACGUGCCCUAUCGAAUUUUAUGCCACAUUGUGGGAUUUCCACGCGGACGCUUGGCAACAAGUGCAUAAAAUGCAGAAAAUGUGAACAUUGUGGGAUAAUUUCACACCUUAAACAAGAAAAAUGUGUCAAGUGCAAAGCAAAACUGGCUUUCGCCAUCUUGUUAGCUGAUCUAGCGUAGCCUAACGCCGCUAGCUGAAGAAAACUGAGCGUAGAUAAUAACACAUUUUCAUUCAAUCAAACUUGAUUCGUAAGUUCAUACAGAAAAUAAAACAUGAAGCAAAAAUAAAUUA